AGAGUUUGAUCCUGGCUCAGGAUGAACGCUAGCUACAGGCUUAACACAUGCAAGUCGAGGGGCAGCAUGUUGGUUGCUUGCAACCAACGAUGGCGACCGGCGCACGGGUGAGUAACGCGUAUCCAACCUACCCUUGUCCAUCGGAUAACCCGUCGAAAGGCGGCCUAACACGAUAUGCGGUUCACGGCAGGCAUCUAAGGUGAACGAAAUGUGAAGGAGAAGGAUGGGGAUGCGUCUGAUUAGCUUGUUGGCGGGGUAACGGCCACCAAGGCUACGAUCAGUAGGGGUUCUGAGAGGAAGGUCCCCACAUUGGAACUGAGACACGGUCCAAACUCCUACGGGAAGGCA
rnacentral:rRNA from 1 species